rnacentral:rRNA from 1 species
UACGUAGGGUCCGAGCGUUGUCCGGAAUUACUGGGCGUAAAGAGCUCGUAGGUGGUUUGCCGCGUUGUUCGUGAAAACUCACAGCUCAACUGUGGGCGUGCGGGCGAUACGGGCAGACUAGAGUGUGUAGGGGAGACUGGAAUUCCUGGUGUAGCGGUGGAAUGUGCAGAUAUCAGGAGGAACACCGGUGGCGAAGGCGGGUCUCUGGGCAGUAACUGACGCUGGAGGAGCGAAAGCCGUGGGGAGCGAACAGG